CAGAGGCUGCGCUUCUCGUGCAAGCUCGACAUAUCCGGGGCCUUAAUUAUCCUAAGGGAGCUGUCCCUGACCUGAUCCGUGGAUCGGGAUACACGGCACCCACCUACUAUGUAGGUUCCCAGGAUUGAUCAUCGCUUGUCACGGUCGACGCGGCUUCACC
rnacentral:other from 2 species